rnacentral:lncRNA from 1 species
GAGCCUGGCAGGCACAACCCGGGAGCAGCAGGGAGAGGUGGGUUUGUCGUGGAGGAUCCAGGAGCUCGGUGUGCGUGUCUGAGCCUGCAGUUCCAAGGUGCAGCAGGACCCAAGGUCUGCACACACCCAUGUACAGCACUUGUAAACAGCGUUAACGUGAAGAUAACGCGUGCGGGGAGUGUGCCGUGGGUUACCACAAGCGAUGAAGGAUUUUGGGACGGUGCCAAGGCAGUUUCCCCCUCAGCGCACUGGUUUUUUUUCCGGAAGAAUUACGCGAGAGCGGAAAAGUUGCAAUGGCAUCGCAGUUCCCUGCUCAGAAAAUGCCCAGGGAGUAAAGCACGGCCAAGUGGUGCCAUUCAACUGCGCCACAGCUGGGAGCAUCAGGUAAGUGACGAGGACUGAGCCGCAUCCCCCCUUAGCAAACACAACAGUAAUGUCAAGCAGGAUCACCCUUUUCCAGACCACUGGCAUGUGCUUGGGGACAAAAAGCUGUGUUUUUCACAGCCGGGUCUUCUGAGCCACAGCACCCCCUGCUCUGGGGUGGCCACUGCUCACUGAUCACAGUGAGAACAAACUUGUGUACAGGCGCUCUGCAAAAUUCCCACCUUAGAUGCCACUGAAGCGCAGCUUUGGCUUUCAGGCAUCUCCCCUGCAAGCUGUCCCUUGUGUCGUUUCCGCAGGGGAUUCGUUGUUAAUUAAUUACUUCACUUUUUUUAUUUUAAUUUCCAAAGAAUAGAAGUUGACUUUUACAGCUUCUUCAGUGCUCCCCAAGCUUUAUACCACACCUAAAUGCUCGUCUUCGCUGCCUGAAGGUCUUUUCUGACCUGAACAAUUCUAUGACUUUGG